rnacentral:lncRNA from 1 species
CUGCUCCAGUGAGUUAUUUACAUUAGUGUGCCUCAGAGCAGAUGGAGGGCUUUAUAUCCCAUUAUGAAAGGCAUGCAAGUUACAGUGACAUGAGUCCUAAUUAUGAACAACUUAAACUGCACCAUCUGCAUUUAACAAAGCUCCAUAUGCAGGGGGUGAUGGAGCUUGGCUGCCUGCGUUUGUUAGCAACACGUGCAGAAUAGACACCGACAGGAGGAAUCUGAAGAUGCUCAGGCAGGCUCUGUGGGAGGAACUGGGAGUGUUUGUGGUGUCCCUUCUGCCCUCACUGACCAAACAGCAAACUGGGACAACAGUCAUCCCAGGACAGAAUUAUUGCCUCCUGUUAAGAAGGAAAGUUUCACAUCAUCUUCCCCGUGGCAAUCUGAGCAGACAGUGUGUAAUUUUAGAUGCUCAGAUUGAAAGCCCAAUUCUUUUGCCACUGACAGUGUUCUGCCAUGCAAAUUUCAGCAUAAAGGAUCCGUUGAUUUCAGCUUAAUGGAGAAUAAGAAAAUUAAUCUUUCUUUGGAAAAGGAAAUUUCAUGGAGGCAAGUAGCCCUAGUUACCCAAAACACAAAUUAGUAUCCAAAAGUUUGACUUGAAAGGGGGUCUUUCUGUGUGCUGCAGUAGGAGGAAUUGUUUCUCUGCUUCUUUAAAGAGCAUUAAACACAGUCGGUAACUGAGAGAAGAUUUAGCAGGGGAGUGCUUAUUUUCCUUCUGACAUUAGCAGUUAGCUCCACUGGAGAAAAUUUUAAGACCAGAGCCACACUUAGCUGGUUCUUCCCCAUAAUUAUGAGCACUUGAAAUACGAGAGAAUUCUAGACAGUGCGCAAAACUCUUGGGUUGAAAAGAUAAAAAUCUCAAGUGAACACAAAAAGAUUUUUUUCUGCAUGCUUGCAUGGAAAAAAGGGUGAAGGAGGUCAGAUAUGUACGUGCCUGUGGUUAUCACAGGUGAUCUGCACUGCAGCUCCUCUGGCUGUGUCUUCAGAGCCCCAAAAGCACAAGCUAGCAAUAGCAGUCCCCUAAACCCAGGCCUCUCAUGGCCCUGCCCUCAGCCACCCUUUUCCUACCUCGCUCUGAAAGGCUUUGAUCUGGAGCACUCUGAAGCAGAGUGAAUAACUGGUGAGCUCUUGAGAUGACAAACAUCUUGCUCUAGGAGGGUUUUGUGAAUCAUCCUUUUAGUGAGAGAUGGCAGGAGCUGAGGUAGCUAUUAUUACACUGGGUUCAGCUCCUCCUCAGGCUGGGCUCUGUAUCUCUGCCAGAUAA